rnacentral:rRNA from 1 species
UACGUAGGGGGCAAGCGUUGUCCGGAAUCAUUGGGCGUAAAGAGCGUGUAGGCGGCCAGGUAGGUCAGCUGUGAAAACUCGAGGCUCAACCUCGAGACGUCGGUUGAAACCACCUGGCUAGAGUCCGGAAGAGGAGAGUGGAAUUCCUGGUGUAGCGGUGAAAUGCGCAGAUAUCAGGAAGAACACCAGUGGCGAAGGCGACUUCCUGGCCUGUUCUUGACGCUGAGGCGCGAAAGCUAGGGUAGCAAACGGG